AAGGGCUGACGCACAGGCCCCGCGUGCCUGCCAGCACAGCCGGCUCCCGAUGACUUCAGCGGCUGAGAGAGUUCGCUGUGUUUCUCCCUCUUCCCUUUCGGCACAGGAAUUGUUACUCAUUGUGUACACAAUGCCAGGCUUUGCGUCUGCCGGCGUUGGCGCAUCUCGGAGGCAGCUGAAGGACAAGGCGAGGAGGAGGCAGGGUCUUGGGCCAUGUGUGGUGUCACCUGGAGCAGGCAGCAGAGAUGGCGUGGGGCUACGUGGAGGAGUGGUGGGUCUGGAAGAAAGAGGAGGACUGAGAUGAAGCUUGCAUUCAGCUCUUUUCCUCCUGAUAGCGAGGGCUGGCAUCAGCAUAACACUCUCCAGACCCAGCUUUCAUCACAACCGUGUGAUAAUUUUCAUCUCUGAAACAGCCUGUGAUGCUCAGGGGAGUCGGGCAGCAGCCCAGACAAGAACUGGUGCCUGGAAGAGACCUCCUGGGUGGUUCAGUUUUGUUCUCAUAAUCUCAAUGACCAUGGUAAAAUCCCUUUCAGAAACAUAUUGAGCUCCAUCGAAAACAAUGACAGGUUUUUGUCAUAUCAGAAGGCUCUUUCCCAAGCCCAGGCUUGAGAGGUUCCAAUAAUCAAGAAUCACGUUCCAGUUUUCAGCUUACAAUGUUGCAGGACAGCCAGUUUUGAGAUCACGGAAUCUGAUGAUUUUAUGCCGCAACUCACGAGCGUUAAAGUCUACAGGAAUCAGAAACAAUUUGUAAAUGGUUCAUGAGCAAAGAAGACUCUCAGAGGCAGGGAGAUAACUCCAGACAGUGCGUGAGCUACUCCUUAAAAGUAGUUUCAAACACAGAGCAAACAGGGCUGCCUUAUUUCUCCAAACAGACAGGAGUAUAGACCAUGACUUCUAAAAGGUGGGUUGUAAUUUCGGACGUCUCAGUCUGGGGAGACUUUGCUUCACGUUAUCUAAAAAUAGUCCGUUUCUAGGAGCAGAAGCCCCCUAAAAACUCUCUCCGCUCCUGCGUGAAGCGGCACGUUUGCCCAGAGCACCAGGGUUGCCCAGCUCCAUCGGCAAUCUCGGUCGAUGCACCGUGCCGUGGGACGCUGCGGCGCCGGGAUGCGGUUCGCAACGGCCCUGCGAGAGCGCCUGCCUGUGCAGUCUGGGCUGCUCGAGUAGAUUUAUUCUCAUUUCCUGACAAAGCAAACCAUCCCCCUCAGGCUUACUUUUAGGGGGAAAAAAAAAUCAAUCAAACACUAAAAACAUGUUAAAAUAAACAACACACACUGAAAAUCUGUUUUCCCUUG
rnacentral:lncRNA from 1 species